GUGCCCACUUCAGCAACGCAUAUACUAAAAUUGGAAUGAUACAGGGAAGAUUAACAUGGCCCCUGAGCAAGGUGACACACAAACUCGUGAAAUGUUCCAUUAAAAA
ensembl:snRNA U6 U6 spliceosomal RNA